UACAGAGGUGGCAAGCGUUGUUCGGAAUUACUGGGCGUAAAGGGCGCGUAGGCGGCCUUGUAAGUCCUGUGUGAAAUCCCCCGGCUCAACUGGGGAACUGCACAGGAGACUGCUUGGCUUGAGUUCGGGAGAGGGAAGCGGAAUUCCGGGUGUAGCGGUGAAAUGCGUAGAUAUCCGGAGGAACACCGGUGGCGAAGGCGACUUCCUGGACCGACACUGACGCUGAGGCGCGAAAGCCAGGGGAGCAAACGGG
rnacentral:rRNA from 1 species